AACGAACGCUGGCGGCAGGCUUAACACAUGCAAGUCGAACGCCCCGCAAGGGGAGUGGCAGACGGGUGAGUAACGCGUGGGAAUCUACCCAUCUCUGCGGAAUAGCUCCGGGAAACUGGAAUUAAUACCGCAUACGCCCUACGGGGGAAAGAUUUAUCGGGGAUGGAUGAGCCCGCGUUGGAUUAGCUAGUUGGUGGGGUAAAGGCCUACCAAGGCGACGAUCCAUAGCUGGUCUGAGAGGAUGAUCAGCCACAUUGGGACUGAGACACGGCCCAAACUCCUACGGGAGGCAGCAGUGGGGAAUAUUGGACAAUGGGCGCAAGCCUGAUCCAGCCAUGCCGCGUGAGUGAUGAAGGCCUUAGGGUUGUAAAGCUCUUUCACCGAUGAAGAUAAUGACGGUAGUCGGAGAAGAAGCCCCGGCUAACUUCGUGCCAGCAGCCGCGGUAACAC
rnacentral:rRNA from 1 species